rnacentral:rRNA from 1 species
UAAACCUACGGGGGGCAGCAGUGGGGAAUAUUGCACAAUGGGGGAAACCCUGAUGCAGCGACGCCGCGUGGGCGAAGAAGUAUUUCGGUAUGUAAAGCCCUAUCAGCAGGGAAGAAGAAAUGACGGUACCUGAGUAAGAAGCACCGGCUAAAUACGUGCCAGCAGCCGCGGUAAUACGUAGGUGGCAAGCGUUGUCCGGAAUUACUGGGUGUAAAGGGAGCGCAGGCGGGAAGCCAAGUCAGCUGUGAAAACUACGGGCUUAACUUGUAGACUGCAGUUGAAACUGGUUUUCUUGAGUGAAGUAG